UACGGGGGGAGCAAGCGUUGUUCGGAUUUACUGGGCGUAAAGGGCGCGUAGGCGGUCAGCACAAGUCAGUUGUGAAAUCUCCGGGCUUAACUCGGAAAGGUCAACUGAUACUGUGCGACUAGAGUGCGGAAGGGGCAACUGGAAUUCUCGGUGUAGCGGUGAAAUGCGUAGAUAUCGAGAGGAACACCGGUGGCGAAGGCGGUUCUCUGGGCCUUACCUGACGCUGAGGAGCGAAAGCGUGGGGAGCGAACAGG
rnacentral:rRNA from 1 species